UUGGAUUGUACUCCUGAUGCUAACCAUCUAGAGCAAAUGUCAAUAAUUCUAAGGUGCGUGUCUUUUUCCACAAAUUUAUUUAAAGUCGAAGAGUAUUUUGUUGAAUUUAUUAAAGUAGAUGAUACUACGGGUCAAAGACUUUUUUGCGGUGCUAAAAGAUGUAUUAAAAUUGAUGCGGACAUCGAAUCAGACCAAGACUUGGAGGACAUGGAAGUAAACCAAAGGCUGGAGGUUGAGGUUCGAUACAUAUCUGAAGGCCCUAUAACACGUUAAAGAGCUAGAAACCUUCAGCACAAGUUCAACCAGUUCACACAAGGGAUCUACACGCCCAAUAGUACCCGAAAGCAAGGUAAAUCGACUAAUGAGUAUUCAGAUCAAAUUCAGGACUCGAUGCUUGAAAUUUAUCAACAAAUCAUCCCUGGAGAAGAGAACCAUCAAGGAAAAACCAGCCACUCUCUAGCUGGUGUAGAAGAUUAUGGAGAAGAGCUCUUUCCACACCAAACAACACAUUCUGGAUCAAACGAGGAAGGAAUCACCAAGGAUCAAGAGAAGCAGCUCCAGAACGUCUAUGAAGAUGAAAAGAACCUCCAGAACUCAAGGGAAGGAUCAACACAUGAAGACUACAUGCCAGCACCUACAUGGACGAUGCUGCGUCAAGAUAAGGUAAGCUUUGUUUCAAUUCUUAAUGUCUUUGCAGGUGGAAACGAUCUCUCAGCAUCCUCAACUUAAAUUAGAGUUUUUUAGAUGUCUCAUUGUCGAAACCAAAGCCUCCAACGUGUGGAGAGGGUUUUAGUUUGCAAAAACUCUAAGUUUCCUUUUCUGUUUUGUUGAUUUUCGCUUAAGUGAGAUUAAAUCUCGACCCUUGAAGGUCAAGGCUGAUGGACAUAUUAAUAAGGUCCCCCUGCAGCCCUUGUAGUCACAUUAUUUUUACCUAAUCAAUAAAGACUGAAUUUUCUUGAGACAAGCUAGCCGCUCUCUCUUGUUCUUCCUUUACUCUGUUGAGACCAGCACCUCCAUAGCUAAGGAUUCUUGAGUUGUAACACAAGUUUUCCAUCACUUGUGUGGUGCUCUUCACUUUCCCCAGUUUGUGUUCAUCGGUUUCAAGAGGAAACGAGUAUCUCUUUCACCUUGUGCCACACCUCCUGUUCUAGAUCCAACACUCUUACACCAAACGUGUAUCAAAAAUCUCUAGAUCUUGACAUAUAUAACGUUAGAGGUCAAGAUUAUG
rnacentral:lncRNA from 1 species